UUGAUUAUCCUACUCGGAUAACUGUGGCAAUUCUAGAGCUAAUACACGCAAUAAAGCUCGGACCUUUCGGGAAGAGCGCAUUUAUUAGACCAAAACCAAUCGGGCUUCGGCCUGAGCUGUGGUGACUCUGAAUAACUAAGCUGAUCGCAUGGUCUUAGUACCGGCGACGCAUCUUUCAAGUGUCUGCCUUAUCAACUUUCGAUGGUAGUUUAUGUGCCUACCAUGGUUGUAACGGGUAACGGAGAAUAAGGGUUCGACUCCGGAGAGGGAGCCUGAGAAACGGCUACCACAUCCAAGGAAGGCAGCAGGCGCGCAAAUUACCCACUCUCGGCACGAGGAGGUAGUGACGAAAAAUAACGACGCAGUGGUUAGAGGCCGCAUGGAAUGGUCAAUUAACCC
rnacentral:rRNA from 1 species